AAGGAGCUUCCUCGGUUGGCAACGACAGCAGCCGCCCUCGGGGAGGUGGGGAGCGUGCCGCUGCUCCCUUUGGCCCGCUCCCGGGAGCCGGAACCCGGGCCUGGGCACCUGCCUCAGACCGGAAGCCGGGCGCGCGGCCGGCCUUCGGUGGGCAGGGGUUGCGCGGAGCUCGCCCGUCGACGCGCUAGAAGUACCCAGGGACACAUAGGUAGCGUGAAUUUGUGCCUUCAAACGUAAGAGGACCUGCUUGUUGCAAGAAACUCUCAGGGAAACAUUCCCUACCCACCGGCAUCUAGCCAAAUCCAAGGCUAAACAGGUCUGCGUUUGUAAUAUUUUGCAAUUCUUAAGAAGAAACAGAAGAAAGGCUGGCGGCCCCUCCUCUUUCCACCAACCCCAGCAUUCAAUAAAUACAGCAGAGGCCACCGUGUUGUUGGACUC
rnacentral:lncRNA from 1 species